GUCUUUAUGAUUUUAAUUUAAAGUUYWAUCUGCUCCAUGAUUAAUUUAUUAAAUAGCUGCAGUAUUCUGACUGUACAAAGGUAGCAUAAUCAAUAGUUUUUUAAUUAAAAGCUGGAAUGAAGGAUUUGAUAAGGUAAAUAUUGUCUCAAUUUUAAUAGUAUUAGAAUUUUUUUUUUAGUAAAAAUACUAAAUUGAAUUUAAAAGACGAGAAGACCCUAUAGAUUUUUAUAUUUUUUAAUUUAAUAAAUUUAAAUACAAUUUUUUUUUAAAUUAAAAAUUAUUUGGUUGGGGAAAUUAUUAAAUUAAAAAAAUUUUAAUUAUUAUAAACAAAAAUUAUUGGGUUAUUGAUCUUAAUAUUUUGAAAUAGAAGAAUAAAUUACCUUAGGGAUAACAGCGUAAUUUUUUUGGAGAGAUCUUAUUGAUAAAAAAGUUUGCGACCUCGAUGUUGAAUUAAGAUAAAAUUUUAAUGUAGAAAUUAAAAAUUUUUGGUCUGUUCGACCAUUAAAAUCUUACGUGA
rnacentral:rRNA from 1 species